rnacentral:rRNA from 1 species
GCCUACGGGGGGCAGCAGUGGGGGAUAUUGCACAAUGGGGGAAACCCUGAUGCCGCGACGCCGCGUGGGCGAAGAAGUAUUUCGGUAUGUAAAGCCCUAUCAGCAGGGAAGAAGAAAUGACGGUACCUGAGCAAGAAGCACCGGCUAAAUACGUGCCAGCAGCCGCGGUAAUACGUAUGGUGCAAGCGUUAUCCGGAUUCACUGGGCGUAAAGGGAGCGCAGGCGGCACGACAAGCCUGAUGUGAAAGCCCGCGGCCCAACCG